rnacentral:rRNA from 1 species
GGGUAGAGCACUGUUUCGGCAAGGGGGUCAUCCCGACUUACCAACCCGAUGCAAACUGCGAAUACCGGAGAAUGUUAUCACGGGAGACACACGGCGGGUGCUAACGUCCGUCGUGAAGAGGGAAACAACCCAGACCGCCAGCUAAGGUCCCAAAGUCAUGGUUAAGUGGGAAACGAUGUGGGAAGGCCCAGACAGCCAGGAUGUUGGCUUAGAAGCAGCCAUCAUUUAAAGAAAGCGUAAUAGCUCACUGGUCGAGUCGGCCUGCGCGGAAGAUGUAACGGGGCUAAACCAU